rnacentral:tRNA from 1 species
GCCGCGUUAGCUCAGCUGGUAGAGCAACCGCCUUGUAAGCGGUAGGUCGUCCGUUCGAGUCGGACACGCGGCGCCA